UGCUUUAAAUUCUGGUAAGAGGCAGAUGACCAUUACUAAAAGUGAUGCCUUGCUGCAGUGCUGUCACAGCGUAGAGAUACUGCUUCUGACAUAAAAGGGGCACUGUGUGAGAACAGAGCUGUGGAAGGGAGGGAUAUGGUUCCCCCAAGGUGUUUUCUCACAGGACACUGCUGAGUAGGACCGGCCUUUGCCUCCACAAAGAAUACUCAAAAAGAAAGCCUGUUUUCAGAAGAUGCCAGUAGCUGACUGUACAUCCUGCUCUGUUGUCCCGUUCCAGCCUCCAGUAGCAGGCAGAAAGACUGGCAACGUUCCAGCCCAGAAGUACAGUUUAUAACACUGCAGUUCCUAACAGCUGGAUUUUUAGCACCGUAUGGGGACAGAACAGCUCCUCUGUUACCUGCUCCGGUGAGAAUUCAGCCAUGGGUCCAUGCAGCACAGCAAGGAGGGUGCUUGGAGAGGAAACCGUGGUGCAUGCAGCGCCUAAAAGCCCAACACAGAACAGCAGUGCGUGGAAACGUCUUCCAUUCACUGCUCGGGCUGAGCUCAGCAUCAGCCGCCCUGCCAUUAGGAUGGACUGUAAACACAUGAAGCCCCAACGUAUUCCUAAGCAGUUCUGCUCAGUCUCCAUCUGUGCUGAGGGCGCUGUGUGACAGCAACGCUGUGUUCUCAAGAAUGCCAUUAUCCGCCUGCUUGGACAAACACGGAGGUUUUGAAAUAAUACAUUCUUCCCAACUCACUCUGUAUGAGAUGCUCUGAAGGUUCGUCUCAGACAUAUUUGUCCUUCUCCAUUAGGACACGCCGGCGUCCCCUCUGCGCUGCUCUCUGUUCUGUGCUGUUUGGGCUGAGGGAGAGCAGCACAUUCCGUGACAUUAAAUGCAUUUCUGCUGCUCGGUGUUGGGCUGCCCCAACUACCUGUGCCUGCAGUGGCCUCUCCGGAGGCAAAGAGUCGGCACAGAUCUCAGGAGAGAAGAGCUGAGUGCACAGGGGGCUCUUGCUGAGGGACAGAGGGGAUGAAUGGAGACAGCCUCCCUGCACUUACAGGAGGAAAUGGAUGCAGCUCAAGUGCAUGCAGUUCAGACACGGAGCUGGGAACAUGCUGUACCGAGCACUGUGUUUUCUCUACGUUGUUGUUGUUGUCACACAUAGCGCAGCCUAUGGCAGGUCAGUCGAACCGGGUGAUGUCCUCAGAUUCAGCAAAAUCAGUGUGUUUUGAGAUUAAAUCUACUGAUCUCCUACACCUCAUGUUCACAAGAGACGGAAGCGGUGAUAUGGCUUUCGUUAGUGCCGUCCUACGUGAAGCGCUUGCGGAGCUCCUGGCACCACACUUCUGCUCCAUCACAACGGCUGCCAUCCCCACCUCUUCACCACAGUGUGAAGGAAUGAGAUUCCAGAGAAGGGAGAGGGGUUGAGCACGGGGACGCAGCUCUGCUUCUGCCGCAGCCACGGGGCGUCGGGGAGCGGAGGGGACACCACGAGGAUGCGGCACUCGCUGGUCAUCCCAAUGGAGCGACAGCUGCAACUCCCCGGGCCGUGUUAAUGGUGCCGGGGCUGCUCUUUAAGUAAUGCCUCCGAUUGUAUUACGCUGGCAUAGUGAAUGGUGGUGACUGCGUGGAAAAAACAGCGUUCCGUAGCCGGGAAUUCGUUCUGUCAAAUGGGACUGUGCUCUUUGCAUCUCCUGAAGUUUCCGUGGAAAUAAAAUAGGAGCCGUUGCUUUUGGAGCGA